rnacentral:rRNA from 1 species
GACGAACGCUGGCGGCGUGCUUAACACAUGCAAGUCGAACGGAAAGGCCCUGCUUUUGUGGGGCGCUCGAGUGGCGAACGGGUGAGUAACACGUGAGUAACCUGCCCUUGACUUUGGGAUAACUUCAGGAAACUGGGGCUAAUACCGGAUAGGAGCUCCUGCUGCAUGGUGGGGGUUGGAAAGUUUCGGCGGUUGGGGAUGGACUCGCGGCUUAUCAGCUUGUUGGUGGGGUAGUGGCUUACCAAGGCUUUGACGGGUAGCCGGCCUGAGGGGGUGACCGGCCACAUUGGGACUGAGAUACGGACCAGACUCCUACGGGAGGCAGCAGUGGGGAAUAUUGCACAAUGGGCGGAAGCCUGAUGCAGCAACGCCGCGUGCGGGAUGACGGCCUUCGGGUUGUAAACCGCUUUCGCCUGUGACGAAGCGUGAGUGACGGUAAUGGGUAAAGAAGCACCGGCUAACUACGUG